rnacentral:rRNA from 1 species
GUGUCAGCAGCCGCGGUAAUACAGAGGGCGCGAGCGUUGUCCGGAAUCACUGGGCGUAAAGGGCGCGUAGGUGGCGGCAUAAGGCUGUGGUGAAAGUCCGGGGCUCAACUCCGGAUCGGCCGCGGCGACUGUGUCGCUUGGGCACCGUAGAGGCAGAUGGAAUUCCGGGUGUAGCGGUGGAAUGCGUAGAGAUCCGGAAGAACACCAGUGGCGAAGGCGGUCUGCUGGGCGGUGGGCUCGCAAGAGCCCGUGAGCCGACACUGAGGCGCGACAGCGUGGGGAGCAAACAGGAUUAGAAACCCGGGUAGUCC